GUCAAGUGCAGGGAAGGUCCUCAAAUUAAGAGAAGGAAGCCAUUGUCCCCCAAAUGCCAAACAAAGCUUUUCUAGUUACAGUGAUAUUCCUCUUUUUUCCCCAUUUAAAAUAUGUAUGUGCAUCAAAAACAUCUGGAUCUAAUCUGGAUCUGAUUGCAGCCUCACCAGAAAAUUAGUACGGCCUGCUUAGCUCUUUCUGGUCUGCCAUCAAAUCAGUCUGUCUGACCAUCUACCCUGGUGUUGAGAAAAUCUGGAUCAAGAAGAUUGGAAAACCACUAUAGAAAAACCUUACAUAAAAAGGAACAUGUCCAAGCCCCUCCACACAGCCCUCUGCCUCUUCUUUUGCCCAGAUGGUGGUUUCAGCAUCCAAACUUCUGGUCCUGGCUGUGGUUUUUGUAUAGUCUGUACUGAGAGGAACAAACCACUGUAUGCAGCUGGCUAGAAGGGCCCUGAAGACCUGCACCGGGAUGGGGCAGAGGUGUUUCGACCUGGGAAGAUCACCUGGAAGACCGCUCUGCAAUGGUCUUCUGCAGCAUCAUCAUUCAAACCCUUUAAACUGGUAUUUUCUUAUCUAAUGUUUUAAGAACCAUAUUCGCACAGACUCUGCUGUUUUUGUGAUAGCCACUAAGUUUGUUUUCUGUAUAGGGCUACAAGAGAUACACGAUAAAUUCCUGGCACCAUUACCUAACACAGGUAAUGCAGGAUUUGCCAGUAAAUUCCCUUGGCAGGAUGGUUAUCAGAACAUGCAUGCUUUCUUAUUUUUCUUUUUGAUGCUCAAAAUAUCAUUGAAAUUUUGGAAAAGACCUUCUGAAUGCUUGGACAGAUUUCCCAAAUGCCACUGACUGUUGCAACAUUAUUUCCUCAUCACUGAGAGUGUUGUGGCUUAGUCUGGGUUUGUCUCUCUGAUCCUCUCCCAAUAUGACUGUGUUAUUCCCUAUUUAUUCUCAUAAAUAAAAAAGAUUUUUAAAACCAACUUUUUUAUCUUGUAUGUUCAGAAAAUAAAAUUAUUUUUUACCCCCUCUGCUAUUUUCUGCUGUUUACUUCCCACCGGGUCAUUCCUUGUACAUGCUGCCUCACUCUGGUGCCGUGUUCUGUUUUCUAUUUCAGAGCUGUGAGGUCAUCGAGGCAUGGUCAAAACAAAACUUGGUGGAACAAACUCUGACCGAGACUGUGACUAUUCUACCUUCAUUUGGAAAAAAUUUGCUGUGAAUUCCCAGAUAUUUCCUGUUUAUUCAGGGCUCCACUUUUCUAUACCCUGUUGUUAAGAGAAUAUAUAGCUUGAAUUUCCAUUUCUAAGUAGACCGAAAACUCCUGUAGCACAGAAACAAGGGGUUGGAAGACUUGUCUGAGGCAUUUUAGUCAUUGGUAAGUGUUGUACCUAGAUCAGAGCAAGCAUCUUGAUACAGAGCAAAUUGUUGUAGAGAAAGCUUUAGGCAAAAUCCAGAGUUUGAUUGCUAUCACUGACAUGGCUGGUGGUUUCUUCUGGCUGAAGGUUUCUCUCUUGACACUUCUGAUGACUUCUUUUUAUGAUUUCCACUAAAAUUAAUGCUCUCUAGUUUAAUACCUUCCAGUACAUGGCUUGUAUGAUGAUUUUAUGUUUGUCAGGGAUUCCUGCUCAAGCUACUAAUAUUCAUAUUACAAUUUUAAUAUUAUAUCAGAUAUCAGCUGUACAUAUCUUUCUUUUAAAUUCAUAAGA
rnacentral:lncRNA from 1 species